rnacentral:pre_miRNA from 1 species
ACAUGCUUGUGCAGCGUUGAUAUGUCUGGUAUUCUUGGGUUGAAACUGAACAACCAGUAUCUCAGACAUAUCGCCGUUGUGCGUGCUUGGUGCA